GUCCAGUUGGCGAGUCCCAAGUAGGACGAAACGCGCAUCCUGGAU
rnacentral:hammerhead_ribozyme from 1 species